UCCUUGAGACCGGCGCACGGGUGCGUAACGCGUAUGCAACCUACCUUUUACAGAGGGAUAGCCCAGAGAAAUUUGGAUUAAUACCUCAUGGUAUAUAUCAUUCGCAUGUUUGAUAUAUUAAAGUUCCAACGGUAAAAGAUGGGCAUGCGUCCUAUUAGCUAGAUGGUAAGGUAACGGCUUACCAUGGCAACGAUAGGUAGGGGUCCUGAGAGGGAGAUCCCCCACACUGGUACUGAGACACGGACCAGACUCCUACGGGAGGCAGCAGUGAGGAAUAUUGGACAAUGGGCGCAAGCCUGAUCCAGCCAUGCCGCGUGCAGGAAGAAGCAUCUAUGGUGUGUAAACUGCUUUUGUACGGGAAGAAACACUCCUUCGUGAAGGAGCUUGACGGUACCGUAAGAAUAAGGAUCGGCUAACUCCGUGCCAGCAGCCGCGGUAAUACGGAGGAUCCAAGCGUUAUCCGGAAUCAUUGGGUUUAAAGGGUCCGUAGGCGGUUUGGUAAGUCAGUGGUGAAAGCCCGCAGCUCAACUGUGGAACGGCCAUUGAUACUGCCAGACUUGAAUUACAAGGAAGUAACUAGAAUAUGUAGUGUAGCGGUGAAAUGCUUAGAUAUUACAUGGAAUACCAAUUGCGAAGGCAGGUUACUACUUGUGGAUUGACGCUGAUGGACGAAAGCGUGGGGAGCGAACAGGAUUAGAUACCCUGGUAGUCCACGCCGUAAACGAUGGAUACUAGCUGUUGGGGGCAACUUCAGUGGCUAAGCGAAAGUGAUAAGUAUCCCACCUGGGGAGUACGUUCGCAAGAAUGAAACUCAAAGGAAU
rnacentral:rRNA from 1 species